GCCCUGGUGGCGAAAUGGUUAAGCACUUGGCUGCUAACCAAAAGCUUGUCAGUUCCAACUCACCCAGUGUC
rnacentral:tRNA from 1 species